GGGGGGGAGGGGAGGGGGUUCUGAUAACCGUGAGUAGCCUAACCCACAUAGAUGGAAAUCAGACUUGAGGCAAUUCUUUCCUUUAGCUGAUGGAACAUGAUAUAUACAGCUUGGAGCUAGGUUCCUCCACAGCACAGCUAUUUGUAUGCAUUCACUUUAUCACAUUUUUAGGAAUUUUGAUAGCAUCUGAUAGGUUUAGAUUCUGAGAGGCAUUUCCUUUGAGCCACCAGCAUCUUCAUGGCAGCUGGAGCACUGGCUAUAAUGAUCUGUUCCAGCCUCCUUAUCUUCAGUAGCCUUCCAUAUCUCCAAUCUGCCUGUGUCUCUGCAUACUGAGAAAUGAUUGUGGUUGUCAGUCAUAUGUGCCUUACUCUCAUCCUCCCCAGCUGUGGGUUCCAUCACUGAGAUCAGACUUGGUAGACCAUAUCCAGGGAUUUGAUUGUAUUGACUUGAAGUGAAUAUUGCGUUUGCCUUCAGAAAUCUCUUUCUUUCCCUCCAUCUUCCUUUGUGCAGGUCCUUUAUCUCUCAGAGCCUGUUUUCUGGCCAGCUGCAGCCUGAUGUUUACUCAGCUGGGGUGAAUAACUUUCCUUUCUGUGUGUCUGAUGUGCUGCGUGUUGUCAAUACAUGGGCCAAUGGAGAUGUCCUCCCUGCUCCAUCCAUAUCAGCUUCUGACCUGACUUAUCUGUUGGCAGACCAGCAGCACUGAAGUCAGUGUGAAUGCAGGCAUCCAUAGAAACGUGUUCUCAUACAGCAGAGGGACUGAGCUGUCAUUGCCUUGAGAGCACCUGGUGAGGUUUGGUCAGCUUUCCAAGAUGAUAACAUGGAGCCUGAAGACCAAGUGCUGAAGACAGAAGGAACUGCAUCCUUGCUUUGUGAGGCAUAGGGAUUCCAAAGGCCAUGAUUAGAUAGCCUUAAUUUGACCUAAGCUUACUGCUUCUUGUCUUUUUAUUUAUUUGCCAGAAGUAAAAGACAGUGGACUUUUCUGUAUCAUGAAGCUGAAGACUGAAUGCAGUUGAACACCAAAGGAAGCAAUGGGAAAUAUUUAUCAUACUUGGGAAGAGGGAUCCAUUUUUGCCAUAUGAAAGCAUACAACAAAAGGUUCUGGCAGCUGGAAACUAGGAGAGAGAGCUGGGAUGGGACUUGCUUGCAUCCCACCGAUGAAGAUGAGCACCCAGUCCUCAGGUCCCUGUGUUUCCCAGCCAUCCCACUCCCUGACAGAUGUCUGUCCUAGGAUGCUGGCUCCCACUCCUAUAUUUGAGAGGUGACAGAUGACUUGCUUCUCCUCCUUUUGCAAGCCUGGGCUGGGCUGAUCUGAUUGCCCUUUUCAGCUGUAGAAAGAUCCAUGUGGACAGGAAGACAUCAGAGAUAUCUAAGACUUCAAGGGCAUGAGAUAAAUGCAAAUGCAUCACUAAUGACUGCUUUAAAAGAAGGUGGUUCUGAUCUCUGUUCAAGAGUUGAUCUCCACCUUAGCAAUGCUACCUUGGGCUUUGAAAGGAAUCUGACAACAUGUCCUCCCUCUGGAUUUUAUUCCUGACUGUAAAGUGGAACCAGCUUUUAGAAGCGGAGGAUAAAGAUUUGGCUGGGAACAUCUGAGCUGGAGGACCAAUAACUUGGGAGCUGCUCGGAAGUGUUUGAUCUGUCUCAGGCCCGCAAGUGCUGAGCAAACGCCUGCCUUGAAGUGGAAGUUAUUUUAUGCAUCCACUGGAGUCCUCUAAAGCCAUUUCCUCUGGGACCUCUGGGGACACUCUGGGCAUCUAUUUUCUCAGCAAUACCAAUGUGACAUGAGGGAGACCGUCUCACAGCCGCUAGGACAGAAGGUGGAAGAAUGCAAACGCUGAAACAUUUUUCAGUUUGUCCUGAUUAUCUUUCCUCCUCCAGCAGUUUUAUUAGGGUUCAUAAAUUCUUCUUUAAAGCACUCAUUCCCCCAUGCAUUUUAACCCUCGGCAGCCUUGGAGGUCACUGUAACCCUGUGGGGUUGGUGGCUGUCCAGGAGAAGCCACCCUGCCCCAUCACAGCUGGCUCUGACCGAAGAGAAUGGAAAUCACUGCACAAAAAGGGCUCUGAGGCACAUGGAGCCCUUCCACUGGCUCAAGUGUAAUAUAAAUAACAACCUUAAUCAUGCAGUGAAAUUGGUGGGUGAAGAUAUGACUGAGGAAUCUGAUAUUGCUUUCAGAAGAUUUUCAGUGCAUCAGUGCUGCUCUCCCCAGCGUGGCAGGAAAGCAUGGAAAAUUCCUCCGUCACCACUGCUUGGUGCCCUCCUAUAAUGAGUAGUCGUUGAGGUAAUAGUAACCCUUUUGGCAAAAGCACUUGCUCCAUGGAAAGCCAGGAUAUAUCCAGUAAUGCAGGGGAGUGCCAUAAAGCACAGCUCAGUAGGAACCUGUUAAAGCGAUAACCUCUGCUGGCCCGGCACACUGCUUCACCAACAGUCCCCAGCUCCUGAAGGCAGUGAUGCUAAGUGAAAUAUUCAGGGGAGGUUAAGGUCGGAUAUUACAAACAGUUUCUUCUCAGAAAGAGCAGUGAGGCACUGGAAUGGGCUGCCCAGGGAGGUGGUGGGAUCGCCAUCCCUAGAGGUGUUCCAGAACCAUGGAGAUGUGGCACUGAGGGAUGUGGGCAGUGGGCAUGGUGGGGUGGGCUGGGGUUGGACUUGGGGAUCUGAGAGGUCUUUUCCAACUUGAAUGAUCAUAUGAUUAGAUAGCUGCUGUUUGUUAGGCAGUCUUAUUCUUGUGGCAGUCUUAUUCUUGUGUCCCCUUGGGAGAACAGCCCUGAAGGCUGGUGGCCUUGAACUGGCAGCUUCUGCUGUGGACAUCAUCCCCUCCUUCCCAGUUUGACCUUCUACCAAGCCCUGAAGCAGGCUGAUUUGAGAUCAAUUCUUGCAGCUAUAGCCUAGCAAUCCAUUUGGCUGCGUGGUUUUAUAGCCAGUACAAUAGGAUACAAUUAGUUUGUCAUGCACUUGGUGCAUUAUUCGCUUGCUGUUUGCUGCAAAGGAGGAGAAAGCCGAAAAAGUACAGUGGUGAGCUAUGUUGCUUUGGAACAAAAUAUUUACAUUUUCCACAUUUCCCAUAAGGCAUUAGCACUCUUCCAAAUGUGACACAGGAGAAGCAAAUGCUUAGUGGUCUGUGGAUCUAACGUUUGCUUAAGUACCAUGACAUAUGUGCAUAUGUGUGUACACACACGAGAUAUUUUAGUUCUACUAUUUAAAUUAAGGGUGGGAUACCCUUCAGCACUGCAUUUCUCAGCAUAUGUGUUCUUAUGUUCACUUAUUCUUUGUUUCUGCCAAUGCCUAAAUAAGGAAUACUAAACAGCCACAAAUAUGCAGCCAGUGGAGACGCAGGAAUUCACUGGGAGGGAGCAAAUGCUGAUCUUGAGCUGAUAGGUUUGCAAGGGAAAGAGUCACUGCAGCUGCAGGAGAGAUUUCUGUGGUGGUAUCUGUCUGUAAUGCACAUCACAGCCCCGCUUUGCCUUCAGGGCAAAGCUGAAGCUUUUAGAUGGAGAGCAAGUCGUUUCAAUGCCACAUCAGGGAUAUAUGUAUAUAUAUAUCCACAUAUAUAUACACACACAUAUAAGAAGCACCUGUUUGCACAAUGUUGAUGGUAUUCUCUGCAGCUCUGAGAUGGAACACUGGGCUUGCAAGGAUGCCCAGAUGGGCUGCGUGUGCAGGCAUAGGGGACCACACAUACAUGCCUACAUUUAUUCCCAUUAUUCCCUUGACUUAGAGCUUUAAAGUCACCUCCUCAGUCUCAUGCCAGCUACACAAUGUAAGGAUGACACAGUCAGGCCUUAAAUUUCCUACCUUUAGGAAAAUGCACAUGAAUUUGACCUCACAUUUGUUUUUCUGGUCAAAAAAUGAAAAGUCUAUGGGAAAGCAGCUUGUCCUGGAGCUCACUGCACUGGAGUAUUUCCUGUUAAAGUACAAUGAUCAGCUUGGAAAUUAAAGGGCAGAGAUGUCCCAGUUUGCUUUUCUAUGAUAUCUCUGCACUCAUAGUGAUUGAAAUUGCUUUUGUGAUUCUUAUUUUAAAGCUGGAGCAAUUUAAGCACCAAGUAUCUGCUGUAGUGGAAAUGCUGAGUCACAGCCUGAAGCAGUGAUGGAGCACCUGGUGGAAAGGCAGAGCCAACCCAGGGGAGCUCAGGUGCAUGCAAUGCACCUGAGUGAUUGGAAGGGAUCGAGCCACCCCUUCCCAGACCUCAUUUAAGGGUUGGCAGUGGAGGUGAGGGCAUCUCUUGUCUGCCGACCUGAGGCCUUCUAAAGGCAAAUAGCUCUUUUCUUUCAUUUUUGCAUCUGUGGCUGCUGCAUUUGGGCUCACUCUCAUUUGCUGCAGCCAAAGACUUUGCCACCCUACUAUUAUCAGCCCAUUAUAGCAUUAUGCCUGCUUGCCAGUUUUUUGCCUGUUCCUCGGGUUCUCUGAGAGUACAAGGAACAACAGCUUUUCAGAGUGGGUUCUGCUUUCUGUCUUUUCCCACCUUUGUCCACGCAGCAUACCUAAAUGUUUCCUCACCUCAGUCCUUACAGGGACGUUGUUGGCCAGGAGAGAUCAGUAAUGCAGAGGUUGGGCAAAUCAUACAAUCACUAUGGUUGGAAAAGGCCACUAAGAUCAUCAAGCCCAACUGUCAGCCCAACCCCACCAUGCCCGCUGACCACGUCCCUCAGUGCCGCAUCCCCACGGUUCUGGAACACCUCCAGAGACAGUGUGAUAUCACCAGUUGGACUGGAUGAUCUUAGUGGUCUUUCCCAGCCUUAAUGAUUCCAUGAUAAUAUGUUAUGUAACAAUUAUAGUAUAAUAUAAAUUGUAUUUAAUGGAGAUGCUGCUCUGGGUGUGAUUCAGCUGCAAGGGAAUCCAUCCCAUCUCUUGCAGGGUUUGUGGGGUUGGUAUGUGAUUUCCAUGCCACUGUGCGUGCACCACUAUACACAGCACAUUGCCCCAUCUUUGUUGCUGCGCUGCCCAACUCUCAGCUCAGGGAAAGGAAAGUCUGAGCUGAUAAGAAAGAUAACUGUUCUGAAGAAGGGAGGCAGAGGUUAAGGAGUGCCAUCUUUUGUGAUCCAUGAUUUGAGGUGGGAGCUUGCAGCCAGGUCCCCUCCGUGCCCAUUCUUCUGCCCUCUUCGCAUCCUCUCCUCCCAUUUUCCACCCCACCCUUGGAGAGGGGUAUGUCUGCUUACCUCCCUUUGCAGCAAGGGCAGAGGAAGAUGAGGAGCUUGGCUGGGGCAUGGAUGGAGCAGCCCAGGGUGCAGCAUCAACAGCCCCAGCCCCUACUCCCCCCCAGGCAGCAUUUGCAAAAGAUCAAAGCGUGCAGCAAAAAUAGCAAAAGGGAAGAGCUUGUGGGUUGGACAUCUGGAGGCCAGAAGCAGCUCCUGCUUUUGAGUAGGCAAGAGGUGAAGGAGGAAGGGUAAAAAUGGGUUUACGGUCUCGCUUCUUUUACUGGGAUUAAAAACUUCUUAUAAAGUUAUAUGGUUUGCUGUUAUUUGAGAAAGCAGUGUCCUAUGUCUCUGUAAGGUCCUAAUUUCAGAAGCAGGGAUGCUAAUGACACCUAUAAAAAUAGAGAGGUGGGUAUUUUCUGGCAGUCACAAUGCUGAUUUAUCUGUGGUGCAUCAUCUGACAACCUUAUUUUUAUUCCAAGGGGCACAAGGAGGCUCCUGGGAAAUGUCUGUGCUGCUAAGCUGAAUAAAGCAGGUGCUAUUUCCUUUUGCAGCUGGAUGUUUUCAACUAUAAGAACUCAGAAACAAGCCCAAACCUAAGGGGAUGGCUGGGUCACAGCCCAGUUUUUCAAAGCCUUUGCAAAGAAACUGGAGACAGGCAGACUAGAAGUCAAAGUCCAACCUCUGGACAGUGCUGCCAAGAGUGCAAUCAAAUAUUGUGCCCAUUUCCACCAAAUAAGUGUGCCAGUGUCAUUGCAAUGCAUUAACGUACAAACAGUACAUUGCAACGUUGGGUUCACUCUGCAAAUGGAGCUGAGUGAGCAAAGUGUUUCACGCCAUUAUGUGUGUCCAAAUGGGAUGAAAACCUCUGGAGGCAGCAUAGCGGGACAUUCUCUGGUGAAAACAUUUACCAUGGAAAAAUGCAAUUUGCAGGGGAUGAUUUGCAUCCAGCACGAUGAACAAUUUUGGCCACAGGAAAAAUAAGCUGAAGUGGAGGGAAGGAGGUUGGAAUGGAAACAGACAGAUUUGAUUGGUUUUCUUUUAACAAAAGAAGCCGUAAGUUAAACACUCUGUUUGUGACAAGAUGUACCAUCUUAUCCCAGGCAGGUUGGAAUUCUUUUUCUUUCCAUCUUUUUCCUUUUUGAUUUUUCCCUUCUCUGUUCAUUCUGUUGGGAAAUGUUUUGUGGAUCAUGGCAUGGGGAGGUUUGGGACUCUGUGUUCCUUUCUGAGCUUCAUCAUCGUUAUCACUUUGCCAUUGUUUGUCUUGAUGUAGGAUCAACAACUGUCUCUCUCCUUGGUCAAAUGGUGGAACUGCUUCUUUCCUCUUCCAGUUUUGCCUCCUGGUCAUUAAAGUGGGAAAUAUCUCUCAUUCAUUUGCAUUGGUUUGACCUGUGCUCCUGGUUUUCUUUCCCAGCUAGGGACAUGGUUGUUGCUCCCAGCCAAGUGCCAGGUGUAUGGCAUGUGAUGACACCAAGCCCUGCCAGGUUGCAUGUUUCAAUGCUUGUGUUGUGCCACUUUCAUUAGCGCACUGAUUAACCAUUUCCCCGUGGUCUAAUGAAUUCCACUUGCCCAUUGCUCACUGAGCAUACCCAGAAAUCACAGCAUUGGGCAAUGCUCACUGGGAUACUUAAGGAAGAGGAGGGGAAAAAAAAAUGAAUGUGCGAGUGCUGGAUUGGGCAGGAAUGGGGGAAUGAAGAAAUUCAAACAUUUUUUUUUCUUCUUUCAGUGGUGAGGGCAGACAAGGCUGAUAGCUGCCUCCGUGUGAAACUGGAGCUACAUCCAGGAAUGGUAUUUAUAUGCACGGAUGUAGCUUUCAAUCAGGAUGAUGUAAACACUGCUGCAGAAUUUUUUGACCAGGCUGUUUGGGAAACGUGAUGGAUUAAAUAUGACAAACAAGAUUCCUGGACGUUUAUUUAUCCGCCUUUUCAUUUGUGCCAGUUUCAUGUUAGGCAAGGCUCUGGCUACCAGACCGAUGCUAAGCCCUGAGGGCAGGCAAGGCUGGGGGGAGGGAGCCACAAAGAGAGUGUUUUCCAAGCCUCAUCUAAUUUAAAGCAUCUUUUGCUGAGUGGUGCAGCGAAGAGGAUGUGGCUAACACAAAUAAAAAAAUCAUAAAGGGAUCAAAGUGUGUGUGCAAAUUCAUUCCUUGUGGCAGGAGUUCUGCCAGUUUGCUUGCUCGCUUGCUUUCCUAAAAAAAAAAAAUUCUCUCCCCGCCCCCAGGAUGGAGCGAGCAAUCGCAUGUCAGAAUCUCUUCUGGAUUUCAUAAGGGUUUCAGCACUGAUGGAUGGGCGGGAUGACACCAGAGCCUGUACAUUGUGCCUGAGAUCUGAGCCACUUCCCCUUGGUCCCAUGGUUACACAUGGAACAGUUGCAUGGGCGCAAUCUAUUUAUAAGUGGUUCAAAGGCACCACAAAAGCAGGGGGAUGCUGGUGUGAAGCACUGGGCCACCAGGAAGCUCUCUAGCACUUGCAGGAACCUGACGUUACCCCAGAGCCUGAGCAGUUCCUGGCAGGGUGUAAGAUGAGGAAAGUCCUAAAAAGGAAAACAAAAGAAAAAAGAUAUAAAAAGUAAAAUCUAAAA
ensembl:lncRNA